UACGAAGGGGGCCAGCGUUGCCCGGAAUCACUGGGCGUAAAGGGUGCGUAGGCGGGUCUUUAAGUCAGGGGUGAAAUCCUGGAGCUCAACUCCAGAACUGCCUUUGAUACUGAGGAUCUUGAGUUCGGGAGAGGUGAGUGGAACUGCGAGUGUAGAGGCGAAAUUCGUAGAUAUUCGCAAGAACACCAGUGGCGAAGGCGGCUCACUGGCCCGAUACUGACGCUGAGGCACGAAAGCGUGGGGAGCAAACAGG
rnacentral:rRNA from 1 species